rnacentral:tRNA from 1 species
UAGUGGUAUGAUUCUCGCUUCGGGUGCGAGAGGUCCGGGGUUCGAUUCCCCGCUAACCCC